AAGAAUUGGCAACUUGAAAGUCUCAAAGAUAAGUCCACCGUGGUUUAGGAAAGGACUGGGUGAAAUCUCCUUUCUUCAUUCAUUCUACAAACUUACACUGGCCUGCUACAUGUCAGACACUGUUCUAAGAGCUGCCGACAAGGUGAUGAACAAAUAGCAAAUGGACUGGAUCCCUACCUUGGUAGAGUUUCAGUUCUAACAUGGGGAUUGGUUAGAGCCACAGCCUUUAGGCCUCACUGGACUUGAAGCUUCAAAAGAAGAGGAACCUUGCCUGCCCUGUUAAAGCCUGGUAUCCCCGGCACCAGUACAGAGCCUUGAUGAACAGCUGUGAUGUUGUCAGAGAUAAGGAGAAACCCCACCAGUAGUAUUCCAGUUGAUCUCAGUUGAUCAGAAAUAAGGAGAAUUCAGCAGUAUCCCAGUUGAUCAGAAAAAAAAAAACAUAAAAAAUUCAAGACGGAUGUCUUGGGUAAUUGCAUGGAAUUUCUAGUAAGUGUCAAGUAUUUAGGAUUAAAAAAAAUCUCCUGACUUCAGCAGAAUAACCCAAAAACUCUCAUUAGUUACUCCACAUUAUUUAAAUAUAUAUUUUUCCUUCAAUGUUUUAGGUGAUGAAGAAGAUUAAGAAUGAUUCCAUAACGGUCAGUACAGUAUUUCACAUUCACUGACCUUUUGUGUAAUUUGAUAUGCUCCUUCAGGAAGUCAGCCAUGGCAUGUUAGGGGAAAGCUUGAUUUAUAAACAUUGCUCAUGGGUGUGUGG
rnacentral:lncRNA from 1 species